ensembl:lncRNA
ACACACACACACACUAUACACACACACCCAUACACACACACACACACACACACACACACACACACACUCUCACACACACACACUCACACACACACUCACACACACACUCACACGUACACUCUCUCAGGGUGUGUAAGAUCAGAAUAGUGAGCAGGAUUAGUGCUCGUGGAAAUCAGGAGUUUUUUUUCUGCAUCACAAGACCGGAUUCCUGCGGCUGGGGGUCCGUCAGCAGACUGAGAUCAUGUGCUGGAGUUUACUGACCUAAAUCAGUGUGUAAGUUUUAAUCAGCCAAUCAGAUCCCUCCCCUUCAUUUUUACAGUACUGACUGUUUAUAGCUGCUUAUUUAAAUCUGUUUAACCAGAGUAUUAUUACUGUAUUAUUACUCUACAUGAGGGGGCGCUCACGUCCUGGUUUAUAUUUACUGCAGUACUUUACUCUUCCCUCCUGCAGGGGGAGCCCAGCAACAAAACAGUAGUUCAAACGAGUUCAGUAAACCUUGUAUCUCCAUUAUCUCUGGUUCAUUUUUCUCUGUCAGUUGUUUUUUAUAUUUUUUAUGAUGAAUACACCAAUAGAAAUAAUCCACAUUAAUUUAGUAUGAAAUUCUGUCUGAUAGAGACGGUAUGUAAAUGUUCUGUGUGAGUAAUAAUGUUCAGUAUUUAAAUAUAACAUAAAUAUUACUUUAUUAAAAAGAAUAAGUCAUGGUUUUGUGAGGCUCUGAGCAGCCAGUGUGUUUUAGUGUUAAAGUGAUGUAAAAUAAUCUGAAUUGUAUUGAGUGUGAACAGAUCUAUUGAGAGGAAUACACUGUUUAUUUGUUUUGAUGCAGAGGCGGAGUCAGGGGCUCCUGAAGCCCCGCCCACAGUUCAGAGUGUGGAUGAUUUUGUACCUGAUGACGGAUUGGAUAAGAGUUUUCUGGAGGACAGCAUGAGCUCUCCGCCGCCGCCGCCGGCCGGGCCGAACAUCGACAGUGAUGGUGAGGGUGGGGGUGGGGGGGGGAACCCGAUGGUUGCUGGUUAUCAGAUUGAUUUGGAUCUGGAUGAUUCUGAUCUCAGAGCUCCGGUUCCGGACGUCACGCUCUCCAGUGAUGAGGAAGUGGGCGGAGCUCCACCGGUUGUAACUCAGGACGAGGAUGUGGAGUUCCCGCCCACUGACCCGCUGGAGGAUUUGAGCUCAUUAACUCUGGAGGAAAAACCCAAACCCACGGAGCCUAACAUACUAAUCCCAACACCCGCACCCUCCACACACACUCCCGCACCCUCCACACACACCCCCGCACCCUCCACACACACUCCCGCACCCUCCACACACACUCCCGCACCCUCCACACACACUCAGGUACACACGCCUGCACCAGCUGCCGGACCGCAGGUUCAACACUGCAAGAAGAAACCGGUUCCGGGCGACUCGUCCGAUACCGACCCGGAGGAACCGGCGGCCCAGAUGCUCUCCUUCAUCAUGGACGACCCGGACUUCGAGAGCGAGGAGGAGCUCGUCCAGAAAGUGAACAAGGUACAGCGAUGAUGGUGAUGGUGAUGGUGGUGAUGAUGAUGAUGGUGAUGAUGGUGAUGAUGAUGAUGAUGAUGAUGAUGGUGAUGGUGAUGGUGGUGAUGAUGAUGAUGGUGAUGAUGGUGAUGAUGAUGGUGAUGAUGGUGAUGAUGAUGGUGAUGAUGGUGAUGAUGAUGGUGAUGGUGGUGAUGAUGAUNCUAAAGUCAGUGCAGUUUUGUUUUCCCACAAAAUCUUACAGCACUUCAUAUCUUACAGCUUCCCUCUGCUGAAAACAACUUUUAUUAAGAUGCAGAUUUCAUUUUCCAGCAGGACUUGGCACACUGCCCACACUGCCAAAAGUACUAAUUGGUCUUUUAUAAUAUUCUAACUUUCUGAGACACUGAUUUUUGGGUUUCUUUGGCUGUAAGCUUCAUACUCAUUAACAAUAAAAUAAAUAAAAGCGUAAAAUAGAUCA